CCAGACUCCUACGGGAGGCAGCAGUGGGGAAUAUUGCACAAUGGGGGAAACCCUGAUGCAGCGACGCCGCGUGAGGGAAGAAGGUUUUCGGAUUGUAAACCUCUGUCCUUGGUGACGAAAGAAGACGGUAGCCAAGGAGGAAGCCACGGCUAACUACGUGCCAGCAGCCGCGGUAAUACGGAGGAUGCGAGCGUUAUCCGGAUUUAUUGGGUUUAAAGGGUGCGCAGGCGGCACGGCAAGCCGGCGGUCAAAUCGCGGGGCUCAACCCCGCCCAGCCGUCGGAACUGCCGGGCUAGAGUGGGCGAGAAGUGCGCGGAAUGCGUGGUGUAGCGGUGAAAUGCAUAGAUAUCACGCAGAACUCCGAUUGCGAAGGCAGCAUACCGGCGCCCGACUGACGCUGAGGCACGAAAGCGUGGGGAUCGAACAGGAUUAGAUACCCUAGUA
rnacentral:rRNA from 1 species